rnacentral:rRNA from 1 species
GACGAACGCUGGCGGCGUGCUUAACACAUGCAAGUCGAACGGUGAAGCGCCUUCCUUUUUGGUGGGUGUGGAUGAGUGGCGAACGGGUGAGUAACACGUGAGCAACCUGCCCCCUUUUUCUGGAUAACCGCAUGACAGAGUGGCUAAUACGGGAUAUUCUGGGUCUGUCGCAUGAUGGGUCUGGGAAAGAUAUUGUUUCGGUGGGGGAUGGGCUCGCGGCCUAUCAGCUUGUUGGUGUGGUGAUGGCCUACCAAGGCGGUGACGAGUAGCCGGCCUGAGAGGGUGGGCGGUCACACAAGGACUAAGACACGGCCCAGACUCCUACAGGAGGCAGCAGGGAAGAAUAUUGCACAGUGGGCGCAAGCCUGAUGCAGCGACGCCGCGGUAGAGAUGGAGGCCUUCGGGUUGUGAACCUCUUUCGUCAGGGAAGCAGGCUUGCCUCGUUUGUGGGUGGGUUGACGGUAGCUAGAUAAGAAGCGCCGGCUAACUACGUG